UAUUAAAAAUUUUAUCCAUUUUUACUGUUAAAAAUUGAAAUGUUACACAUGACGUGCUACAUGUACUUCAUAUUGAUAUACAGGGAUCAGUUUUUAACAGUAGAAAUAGAUGGAAAUUUUUUAGUA
rfam:Gossypium raimondii Chr01_contig_138, whole genome shotgun sequence.